AGAAAAAAGAGAGAGAAAUGAGUGUAGCUCUAUGGAAGUGGAUUAAUUAGUACCAACCCCUGACUGCCACUUUCCUCUAACUUGAGCAGGGUUGCCUGGGGGUGGUGUGAGGAUUACAGUUCCUUGUUCAUUAGAACAGGGAGACCAGGCCUGGAUGAGAAUGGCAUGCUAGGAUAUGGAAUAAUUACUGCAUUAAUCAGGUCCUCACUCGGUAGGAGUGACACGACCUUGACAGUUGGACUGGCAUAGACCUGUCCUCCCACUCCUUAUCUCAUAUCUUCUAUUGGGGAAAAAUGGCCACAGGAUCAAGGAAGCAGAAGGGAGAAGACUAUCAGAGCCUCUUAUGCAGGGAGAACUGUAUGAGAGUGCUCUGGAUCAGGCAUCUUCUACCUGCCAAUCUCUUUGCUUCCAUGUCUAUAAGUUCUCAUUCUAGUUUUUACAUCAAUGCAGUUUCAUCUAACCCCCAAUCAGUCCACGCUUCAUUCCCCCAACUUCCCACACAGAUUAUCACAAGUCUCUCCCAAUAUCUCAUCAUCCAUGGGCUUCUUGUUGACCUUUAUCCCUACUGCAAAAUUUCAUGUAUGCUCCCAUGUCCCUGACCUAGGAUUCACACCCACAGACCCUGGUAAAGAGAGUGUCUCUUACCUGUGUAGAGAACCAGUCCAUAUUGUUAUCGUAAUCAAUGUGCAUAGGGAUAUGGUUCAAUUGUGAUAUCCAGGUAAACAAGAUACUCUCUAGGACGCUGUGCAGAUACAGACAAAGCAGUCAUUGCCACAUACAGUCACAGCAGAUAGAGACUCUCACAUCAAGCCAACGCAAGAACUGCCACCCAAGCCAAAUGUUGCCAGAUAAGACCCCAAUACACAAGGGCAACAGAUAAGUAACUGGCCACUUCACCCAAAGCACUGACUGCUCAGUAAAAUGCCCAUGCAAACUCGCAAUGGCCAGUAACAUGCCUGCAAUCCCAAACUAAUAUCUGCCUGGUAAAGCGCUUUCUGGCUAGUAAAAGGCCCUCUCAGACCCACCAGAAUGAGUGGCUACCAAGUAUAACUUCUCUCUUAUGUUCCAACCAGUGAGUCAUCAGUAGAAGGCCCCCACAAAAGUGAGGGCAAUGUAUGGAAAACAAUUUGUACUCUUAUAAGAGAGAAAGCAAUGAUAGGGAAAGGGAGAAAAGCAGAGUGGCCAGAGGCAAUCACAGAUGGGAAGGAAUGCGCUAUGAGGGCAGAGAAGAGGGGUCAGUCAGUCAGGUGUGAGUACCAAUAGGUAGAGGGAGUCAUGACUAGAAUGAGGAUUACUUGAGCAGCAGAAGGAAACCCAGGACACCCGUCACUCCCAGUAAGGGCUCGAAGAAAAGAAAGAAUCGGAUGAAGUAGGUCAGAGUCCAAGCUAGUUCCUGUGAGAGAGAAGGAGAGAAACCUUCAUCAGGACAGCAGUUUACAGCAAAACAGUACCCCACCACCAUCCCGCAAUGGGAAGAAUAGAAGCCCCAAAUCCCCCACGUAAGGCUCACUCUGUGUCUAUCCUUUGCAGCUCCCCUCAAUUCUCUCAUAUCAGUGAGGACACAGCUUGGGAAGUUUCCUUGUAACCUGCACUAAUGGUCUAUGUAUUGUGGAUUUCCCCCAUUACCUCACACCAGAGAGAGUAACUAGCCUGAGAAACCUCACCCAGAAAGGCCCACUCACUGUUCUUGCACUGUAGCUUCCCUCAACUUCCGUGGAGUAGCAGGAAUCCAGCUCAAGAAAUCAAUCCUCUAAGCAUCACUGGCUGCCCCUGCAUUCUAGUUCCCUUUCACCACCUCACAGCAACAUGAAUCCAGCCCCAGAAAAUGCCUUGGAUCCAUAUGCUGUAAUUCUCCUCCACCAUUCUAGACAAACAAAGGCCCGGUCCUAAAACCUCCUCAGUUAGAAGAGCAGCUGCCUGUUUGCAAAGGUUUGUGGGAAAUGCUGAGUGUACUUACCCUCCAUAGUUUACGCUGGAAUAUGAAGUACAAGGAGUACAACUGGAACACUGGAACCACAAGCAGGGGCAUAGCUGGAGAAGAAAACAAGAAGAGCAGAGACAUUAACAGCCUCACCUAGUUAAUGAACACCUUGGAAACCAGAAUGAAAGGAGAGCUCUGUGCAGUGCUCAUCACCAAACUAUGCUUCCAAGAGAUUUUGCUCCUCAUCUUCUUUCCUUACUCUCCUCCUCACCCCACUUCCUUUCUCCCUCCAUUUUAUACAUUCAGAGGCCAACAAUCUGUAGAUGACUCUCAACUCUGCGCCUGCUUCCAACUGAAUGCAAAUUGUACCAUCUCCCUACACCUGAGAGUCAAUAGGUGAACCUGAUGCUACACACCAUCUUUCUGAACUCAUCAGUGCUUCUGAAUACCCAAAUAGCUAUAGCAGUGAAAUUGCACUCUUCUAUCCACUGGUAGCCUGGAGAGUGCACUCCUUUUGGUCAGAUUUGGACUUGAUCAUGAUGAUCCAUAUUUUCAUGACCUCCAGGCUUGACUUCUGUAAUGCAAUAUAUCA